rnacentral:rRNA from 1 species
UUAAGCGACUAAGCGUACACGGUGGAUGCCCUGGCAGUCAGAGGCGAUGAAGGACGUGCUAAUCUGCGAUAAGCGUCGGUAAGGUGAUAUGAACCGUUAUAACCGGCGAUUUCCGAAUGGGGAAACCCAGUGUGAUUCGUCACACUAUCAUUAACUGAAUCCAUAGGUUAAUGAGGCGAACCGGGGGGAACUGAAACAUCUAAGUACCCCGAGGAAAAGAAAUCAACCGAGAUUCCCCCAGUAGCGGCGAGCGAACGGGGAGGAGCCCAGAGCCUGAAUCAGUGUGUGUGUUAGUGGAAGCGUCUGGAAAGGCGCGCGAUACAGGGUGACAGCCCCGUACACAAAAAUGCACAUGCUGUGAGCUCGAUGAGUAGGGCGGGACACGUGGUAUCCUGUCUGAAUAUGGGGGGACCAUCCUCCAAGGCUAAAUACUCCUGACUGACCGAUAGUGAACCAGUACCGUGAGGGAAAGGCGAAAAGAACCCCGGCGAGGGGAGUGAAAAAAGAACCUGAAACCGUGUACGUACAAGCAGUGGGAGCACGCUUAGGCGUGUGACUGCGUACCUUUUGUAUAAUGGGUCAGCGACUUAUAUUCUGUAGCAAGGUUAACCGAAUAGGGGAGCCGAAGGGAAACCGAGUCUUAACUGGGCGUUAAGUUGCAGGGUAUAGACCCGAAACCCGGUGAUCUAGCCAUGGGCAGGUUGAAGGUUGGGUAACACUAACUGGAGGACCGAACCGACUAAUGUUGAAAAAUUAGCGGAUGACUUGUGGCUGGGGGUGAAAGGCCAAUCAAACCGGGAGAUAGCUGGUUCUCCCCGAAAGCUAUUUAGGUAGCGCCUCGUGAAUUCAUCUCCGGGGGUAGAGCACUGUUUCGGCAAGGGGGUCAUCCCGACUUACCAACCCGAUGCAAACUGCGAAUACCGGAGAAUGUUAUCACGGGAGACACACGGCGGGUGCUAACGUCCGUCGUGAAGAGGGAAACAACCCAGACCGCCAGCUAAGGUCCCAAAGUCAUGGUUAAGUGGGAAACGAUGUGGGAAGGCCCAGACAGCCAGGAUGUUGGCUUAGAAGCAGCCAUCAUUUAAAGAAAGCGUAAUAGCUCACUGGUCGAGUCGGCCUGCGCGGAAGAUGUAACGGGCUAAACCAUGCACCGAAGCUGCGGCAGCGACGCUGAUGCGUUGUUGGGUAGGGGAGCGUUCUGUAAGCCUGCGAAGGUGUGCUGUGAGGCAUGCUGGAGGUAUCAGAAGUGCGAAUGCUGACAUAAGUAACGAUAAAGCGGGUGAAAAGCCCGCUCGCCGGAAGACCAAGGGUUCCUGUCCAACGUUAAUCGGGGCAGGGUGAGUCGACCCUAAGGCGAGGCCGAAAGGCGUAGUCGAUGGGAAACAGGUUAAUAUUCCUGUACUUGGUGUUACUGCGAAGGGGACGGAGAAGGCUAUGUUGGCCGGGCGACGGUUGUCCCGGUUUAAGCGUGUAGGCUGGUUUUCCGUGCAAAUCCGGAAAAUCAAGGCUGAGGCGUGAUGACGAGGCACUACGGUGCUGAAGCAACAAAUGCCCUGCUUCCGUGAAAAGCCUCUAAGCAUCAGGUAACAUCAAAUCGUACCCCAAACCGACACAGGUGGUCAGGUAGAGAAUACCAAGGCGCUUGAGAGAACUCGGGUGAAGGAACUAGGCAAAAUGGUGCCGUAACUUCGGGAGAAGGCACGCUGAUAUGUAGGUGAAGCGACUUGCUCGUGGAGCUGAAAUCAGUCGAAGAUACCAGCUGGCUGCAACUGUUUAUUAAAAACACAGCACUGUGCAAACACGAAAGUGGACGUAUACGGUGUGACGCCUGCCCGGUGCCGGAAGGUUAAUUGAUGGGGUUAGCGCAAGCGAAGCUCUUGAUCGAAGCCCCGGUAAACGGCGGCCGUAACUAUAACGGUCCUAAGGUAGCGAAAUUCCUUGUCGGGUAAGUUCCGACCUGCACGAAUGGCGUAAUGAUGGCCGCUGUUCCACCCGAGACUCAGUGAAAUUGAACUCGCUGUGAAGAUGCAGUGUACCCGCGGCAAGACGGAAAGACCCCGUGAACCUUUACUAUAGCUUGACACUGAACAUUGAGCCUUGAUGUGUAGGAUAGGUGGGAGGCUUUGAAGUGUGGACGCCAGUCUGCAUGGAGCCGACCUUGAAAUACCACCCUUUAAUGUUUGAUGUUCUAACGUGGACCCGUAAUCCGGGUUGCGGACAGUGUCUGGUGGGUAGUUUGACUGGGGCGGUCUCCUCCUAAAGAGUAACGGAGGAGCACGAAGGUUGGCUAAUCGGUCGGACAUCAGGAGGUUAGUGCAAUGGCAUAAGCCAGCUUGACUGCGAGCGUGACGGCGCGAGCAGGUGCGAAAGCAGGUCAUAGUGAUCCGGUGGUUCUGAAUGGAAGGGCCAUCGCUCAACGGAUAAAAGGUACUCCGGGGAUAACAGGCUGAUACCGCCCAAGAGUUCAUAUCGACGGCGGUGUUUGGCACCUCGAUGUCGGCUCAUCACAUCCGGGCUGAAGUAGGUCCCAAGGGUAUGGCUGUUCGCCAUUUAAAGUGGUACGCGAGCUGGGUUUAGAACGUCGUGAGACAGUUCGGUCCCUAUUCGCCGUGGGCGCUGGAGAACUGAGGGGCUGCUCCUAGUACGAGAGGACCGGAGUGGACGCAUCACUGGUGUUCGGGUUGUCAUGCCAAUGGCACUGCCCGGUAGCUAAAUGCGGAAGAGAUAAGUGCUGAAAGCAUCUAAGCACGAAACUUGCCCCGAGAUGAGUUCUCCCUGACUCCUUGAGAGUCCUGAAGGAACGUUGAAGACGACGACGUUGAUAGGCCGGGUGUGUAAGCGCAGCGAUGCGUUGAGCUAACCGGUACUAAUGAACCGUGAGGCUUAACCU